UAGGGAAUCUUCGGCAAUGGACGGAAGUCUGACCGAGCAACGCCGCGUGAGUGAAGAAGGUUUUCGGAUCGUAAAGCUCUGUUGUUAGAGAAGAACGUUGGUAGGAGUGGAAAAUCUACCAAGUGACGGUAACUAACCAGAAAGGGACGGCUAACUACGUGCCAGCAGCCGCGGUAAUACGUAGGUCCCGAGCGUUGUCCGGAGUUAUUGGGCGUAAAGUGAGUGCAGGCGGUUCUUUAAGUCUGAAGUUAAAGGCAGUGGCUUAACCAUUGUACUCUUUGGAAACUGGAUGACUUGAGUGCAGAAGGGGGGAGUGGAAUUCCAUGUGUAGCGGUGAAAUGCGUAGAUAUAUGGAGGAACACCGGUGGAGAAAGCGGCUCUCUGGUCUAUAACUGACGAUGAGGCUCGAAAGCGUGGGGAGCAAACAGG
rnacentral:rRNA from 1 species